GCCGUUGUAGCUCAGUUGGUAGAGCAACUGAUUCGUAAUCAGUAGGUCCAGAGUUCGACUCUCUGCAUCGGCA
rnacentral:tRNA from 1 species